GACAGAGGAUGCAAGCGUUAUCCGGAAUGAUUGGGCGUAAAGCGUCUGUAGGUGGCUUUUCAAGUCCGCCAUCAAAUCCCAGGGCUCAACCCUGGACAGGCGGUGGAAACUACCAAGCUGGAGUACGGUAGGGGCAAAGGGAAUUUCCGGUGGAGCGGUGAAAUGCAUUGAGAUCGGAAAGAACACCAACGGCGAAAGCACUCUGCUGGGCCGACACUGACACUUAGAGACAAAAGCUAGGGGAGCAAAUGGG
rnacentral:rRNA from 1 species